CCAGAAUGUACACCGGGAUUACACAUUCCAUCUGGUUACAAAUAUCAGGAACUCUGUGCUUUUGUCUGUGCUCAAGACAGUUUGUGCAUGCCAUCCACUUUUCAGGACCCACAGCUGUUCUCGUGUCAUCUCAGUGAACUGACCAUGGGAGCACUCCUACAAACUUACCCAUACGUAAGAGAAAACCAGGUUGGGAAUGACCUCUCUUUGCUGCUAUGUGAGUUGAGUACAUUUUAGAUGAAAUGACCUGAAUCAGAAUGUGCUCCGAUGACAAAUAAUAUGACAAAAGGAAGAAUUACGAUCCAGUUCCGAGGAACCCAGCUCUUCCUAAAGCAAGACAUCCAGGGCAUUGGUAGCUGUUGUAUGACUGAGUCCUGUACAGUGUUCAGAUAAUAAAUAUUUAGCUACACCUCUUUGUUGUCUUUUU
rnacentral:lncRNA from 1 species